rnacentral:tRNA from 1 species
UCCCUGGAGGUCCAGGGGUUAAGACUCUGCACUUCCAAAUGCAGGGGGUACAGGUUCAAUCCCUGGCUGGGGAA